GCCUGGGUGGCUCAGUCAGUUGAGCGUCUGACUUCGGCUCAGGUGAUGAUCUCACAGUUGGUGGGUUCAAGCCCCCACGUCGGGCU
rnacentral:tRNA from 1 species